rnacentral:rRNA from 1 species
UUUCGGGGGUACUCGAGUGGCGAACGGGUGAGUAACACGUGGGUGAUCUGCCCUGCACUUUGGGAUAAGCCUGGGAAACUGGGUCUAAUACCGAAUACACCCUGCUGGUCGCAUGGCCUGGUAGGGGAAAGCUUUUGCGGUGUGGGAUGGGCCCGCGGCCUAUCAGCUUGUUGGUGGGGUGAUGGCCUACCAAGGCGACGACGGGUAGCCGGCCUGAGAGGGUGACCGGCCACACUGGGACUGAGAUACGGCCCAGACUCCUACGGGAGGCAGCAGUGGGGAAUAUUGCACAAUGGGCGCAAGCCUGAUGCAGCGACGCCGCGUGAGGGAUGACGGCCUUCGGGUUGUAAACCUCUUUCAGCACAGACGAAGCGCAAGUGACGGUAUGUGCAGAAGAAGGACCGGCCAACUACGUGCCAGCAGCCGCGGUAAUACGUAGGGUCCGAGCGUUGUCCGGAAUUACUGGGCGUAAAGAGCUCGUAGGUGGUUUGUCGCGUUGUUCGUGAAAACUCACAGCUUAACUGUGGGCGUGCGGGCGAUACGGGCAGACUAGAGUACUGCAGGGGAGACUGGAAUUCCUGGUGUAGCGGUGGAAUGCGCAGAUAUCAGGAGGAACACCGGUGGCGAAGGCGGGUCUCUGGGCAGUAACUGACGCUGAGGAGCGAAAGCGUGGGGAGCGAACAGGAUUAGAUACCCUGGUAGUCCACGCCGUAAACGGUGGGUACUAGGUGUGGGUUUCCUUCCUUGGGAUCCGUGCCGUAGCUAACGCAUUAAGUACCCCGCCUGGGGAGUACGGCCGCAAGGCUAAAACUCAAAGGAAUUGACGGGGGCCCGCACAAGCGGCGGAGCAUGUGGAUUAAUUCGAUGCAACGCGAAGAACCUUACCUGGGUUUGACAUGCACAGGACGCCGGCAGAGAUGUCGGUUCCCUUGUGGCCUGUGUGCAGGUGGUGCAUGGCUGUCGUCAGCUCGUGUCGUGAGAUGUUGGGUUAAGUCCCGCAACGAGCGCAACCCUUGUCUCAUGUUGCCAGCACGUUAUGGUGGGGACUCGUGAGAGACUGCCGGGGUCAACUCGGAGGAAGGUGGGGAUGACGUCAAGUCAUCAUGCCCCUUAUGUCCAGGGCUUCACACAUGCUACAAUGGCCGGUACAAAGGGCUGCGAUGCCGUGAGGUGGAGCGAAUCCUUUCAAAGCCGGUCUCAGUUCGGAUCGGGGUCUGCAACUCGACCCCGUGAAGUCGGAGUCGCUAGUAAUCGCAGAUCAGCAACGCUGCGGUGAAUACGUUCCCGGGCCUUGUACACACCGCCCGUCACGUCAUGAAAGUCGGUAACACCCG